rnacentral:rRNA from 1 species
UACGAAGGUGGCGAAUGUUGCUCGGAUUCACUGGGCGUAAAGCGUCCGUAGGUGGUUGGAUACGUCAGAUGUGAAAGCCCCGCGCUCAACGUGGGAAUGGCAUUUGAAACGGUUUGACUCGAAGAUGAGAGAGGAAGGCAGAAUUCCCGGUGUAGAGGUGAAAUUCGUAGAUAUCGGGAGGAAUACCCAUGGCGAAGGCAGCUUUCUGGCUCAUUCUUGACACUGAGGGACGACAGCGUGGGGAUCAAACAGG